AAGCGUGCGCAGGCGGUUUUGUAAGACAGUGGUGAAAUCCCCGGGCCUCAACCUGGGAACUGCCAUUGUGACUGCAAAGCUAGAGUGCGGCAGAGGGGGAUGGAAUUCCGCGUGUAGCAGUGAAAUGCGUAGAUAUGCGGAGGAACACCGAUGGCGAAGGCAAUCCCCUGGGCCUGCACUGACGCUCAUGCACGAAAGCGUGGGGAGCAAACAGGAUUAGAUACCCUUGU
rnacentral:rRNA from 1 species